rnacentral:lncRNA from 1 species
GGCUCCACCCCCAUGAAUCUAGGGGUGCUCAAUGUCAUCACAAGGGUCCUUAAGAGGGAAAGAGGAAGCCAUGAGGGUCAGAGUCAAAGGAAGACUUGAAGAUACUACACUGAGGACUUUAAAGAUGAAGGAAGGGGCGAAAACCAAGAAUGUGGGAAGCCUCUAGAAGCUAGAGAAGGCAAGGAAACAGAUUUUCCACUAGAGCCUCCAGAAGGAACACAGCCCUGCUGACCCACUGUAAUGUCUGACCUCUAGAUGUGUAAGGGUAGUAAGACUGAAAGUCUCAGAAAGGCACUGUUACAUUCUUAUUCCACAACCAUGCAACUCAAAACUGGGGUCCUCAGCAAUGAGCGAGGGGCGAGAGAAGGCACUGUAUAAACAUGGCACAUCCUCCUGGAAAGUCAACUUUACUCAAAGGUUCUUACACACAGUGACAGCUAGCAGAGUCUAAAGUGCUGACAUUAUGACUUAGAGAUGUGAUAAAGAGAAACAUCUAUUGCAUUUUCUAAAACGUUUGGCAAUUCCCAGUCUACACUUACACUGUCCAAUGGAAAUACAAUGCAAACCAGAAGUGUAAUUGUGACAGUCUCAUGUUGGCCAUGGGGUACUCUCUGCGUCAUGCUAGAAAGAGUUUAUGGUCCCACCUGCAUCCAUGAGAAAGAGAAAACAAAGCUUCAAUUUUAAGUCCUUGGAAAUUCCAUGCCAUUAAGAAACUGCUACUGCCAGCUUUCUGGUGUUAUUUAAAGGGGUAAAAAGUUCAUUACACUAGUGUUCUUAUAAGUGUUGGUUUUAUUUCAUAUUAUUUGAAGAGCUAUUCUAUUUAAUAACAAUAAAUUGCUUAGAAGAUGUCAGACCUGUGUUUGGGUUAGGGGUUGCUUUUAGCUGCAGGUAAGAACACUCACAAAAGAGGGGCUUAAAUGCAACAAAAGGGGAAGGGCUAAGGGCAAAAGGCACAUGACUUCAGCAUCUGUGCCUUAUAGAGAUAACCAUAUUUUCUCUAGAUGCUCAUUGAACAGAACUAUUUCUCAUGGUCAAUCACAACCAAAAGACAGCUGGGGAAAUUCAGGAUUUUAACAGGGCACACUUACUAUGCUGAACAAAAUCUGAGUUCUUAAUUUUAAAAAAGAAGAGAAUGAUAUUAGAGAGAUACAUGUUCCAUAAUAGUUAUUUAACUGUUUGUGUUUAAUAAACAUCACUUCAUAUCAAA